AGUGAACGCUGGCGGUAGGCCUAACACAUGCAAGUCGAACGGCAGCACAGUAAGAGCUUGCUCUUACGGGUGGCGAGUGGCGGACGGGUGAGGAAUACAUCGGAAUCUACUUUUUCGUGGGGGAUAACGUAGGGAAACUUACGCUAAUACCGCAUACGACCUACGGGUGAAAGCAGGGGAUCUUCGGACCUUGCGCGAUUGAAUGAGCCGAUGUCGGAUUAGCUAGUUGGCGGGGUAAAGGCCCACCAAGGCGACGAUCCGUAGCUGGUCUGAGAGGAUGAUCGGCCAACUUGGACUUGGGAACCGGUCCAACUCCCUAGGGGAGGACGCAGGGGGGAAAUUUGGAAAAGGGGCGAAAGCCUGAUCCAGCCAACCCGCGGGGGUGAAGAAGGCCUUCGGGUUUUAAACCCCUUUUGUUGGGAAAAAAAAGCAGCAGGUUAAUACCCCGCUGUUCUGCCGGUACCCAAAGAAUAAGCCCCGGCUAAUUUCGU
rnacentral:rRNA from 1 species